AUUGAACGCUGGCGGCAGGCCUAACACAUGCAAGUCGAGCGGAUGAAUGGUGCUUGCUCCUGGAUUCAGCGGCGGACGGGUGUGUAAUUCCUAGGAAUCUGCCUGGUAGUGGGGGAUAACGUCCGGAAACGGGCGCUAAUACCGCAUACGUCCUGAUGUUGAAAGUGGGUGUUCUUCGGACCUCACGCUAUCAUAUGAGCCUAGGUCGGAUUAGCUAGUUGGUGGGGAAAAGGCCUACCAAGGCAACUAUCCGUAACUGGUCUGAGAGGAUGAUCAGUAAAAGGGGAAAGGAGAAAGGGACCAGAAACGAAGGGGAGGAAGAAGAGGGAAAUAUUGGAAAAGGGGCGAAAGACAGAACAAGCCAAGCGGGGGGGGUGAAGAAGGGCUACGGAUUGUAAAGCACUUUAAGAGGGGAGGAAGGGCAGUAAGUUAAUAACUGGCUGUUUGGACGUAACAAACAGAAUAAGAACGGGCUAACAUCGU
rnacentral:rRNA from 1 species